GACGUAGGGGGCGAGCGUUGUCCGGAUUUACUGGGCGUAAAGAGCGCGUAGGCGGUUAACUAAGUCAGGUGUGAAAUCUCCAGGGCUCAACCCGGAAACUGCAUUUGAUACUGGCUAACUUGAGUGUCGGAGAGGUAACUGGAAUUCCUGGUGUAGCGGUGACAUGCAUUGAUAUCAGGAGGAACACCCAUGGCGAAGGCAGGUUACUGGCCGACAACUGACGCUGAGGCGCGAAAGCGUGGGUAGCAAACAGA
rnacentral:rRNA from 2 species